GAGACUCCCCUUCACCUAGAAAAGAAUAUCACUCUUUACUUAGAAAAUGGUCUGGACCCUUGGGCCUUAGACUCUUGGGCUUUGUACCACAGGCCUUGGGCCAUCUUCACUUUAUCUUUAGGUCUAAUCCCCUUGUAUAAAUGUAAACAAACAUUAUCAUAAUGAGAACAUCAUUCUUCAUGGACGUAGCUCAUUAUUUGGGUGAACCACAUACACUGUGUCUUCUGCAUGCUUAUUUGCUUUACUUACGCUGAAUGUCAUUGACUGCCGAAGACAAUAACUUGUCGAAGGCACAUAUACAUGUUGAAGGCCCACGUCUUCACACAUCAUCUACCACUCCACAUCUAUCUAAGUUGAACUCUAUUUUGAGCGUCAAUAGUACCAUCAUGCGAAUUUAAGGAUUACCAUUAUUCUUACAAGUGGCGGAGUUAUGUGAAGGACUGAAGGGGCCAGGGCCUCCCCUAAAAGUUUGACAAUAUUUCAUGUUUGGUCCUUUAUUCGUACAAAUUUUAGGAAGUAUAUAUAAUAAUUUUGCUUGUGGCCCCUCAUAAUAAAAAAAAGAUGUGUUUCUCUUUCCAAAUUAAGUAUAUAUAAUAAUCACCACUUGAUCAAAGGCUGUGAACAUUUCUAGAUCCACGCGUCAGGUUUUUCUAUUAAGUUUUUCAACUUAAUAAUGGCUUUGGUUUUUUAAAAGUGAAAUUUAAUGUACAUCAAUAUACUAAUAAAAAAUAAAUAGCAGCCAGUCAAAUAAAGUUUUAAAAAAUCUCUUUUAUCAAAUAGGAAGUAGACUUUUAC
rnacentral:lncRNA from 1 species